AUGAACGCUAGCGGCAGGCCUAACACAUGCAAGUCGAGGGGCAGCACGUUAAAGAGUUUACUCUUUAUGGUGGCGACCGGCGGACGGGUGCGUAACGCGUAUGCAACCUGCCUGACACAGGGGGAUAAUCCGAAGAAAUUUGGUCUAAUACCCCAUAAUACCGAUAUAGGCAUCUAUGUUGGUUGAAAGCUUUGGUGGUGUCAGAUGGGCAUGCGUUGUAUUAGCUAGUUGGUGAGGUAACGGCUCACCAAGGCGACGAUACAUAGGGGGACUGAGAGGUUAACCCCCCACACUGGUACUGAGACACGGACCAGACUCCUACGGGAGGCAGCAGUGAGGAAUAUUGGUCAAUGGGCGGAAGCCUGAACCAGCCAUGCCGCGUGCAGGAAGACGGCUCUAUGAGUUGUAAACUGCUUUUGUACUAGGGUAAUUUGCGGUACGUGUACCGUAUUGAAAGUAUAGUACGAAUAAGGAUCGGCUAACUCCGUGCCAGCAGCCGCGGUAAUACGGAGGAUCCAAGCGUUAUCCGGAUUUAUUGGGUUUAAAGGGUGCGUAGGCGGCAGAUUAAGUUAGAGGUGAAAUUCCGAGGCUCAACCUUGGCACUGCCUCUGAUACUGGUUUGCUAGCGAGUAGAUGCUGUAGGCGGAAUGUGUGGUGUAGCGGUGAAAUGCAUAGAGAUCACACAGAACACCGAUUGCGAAGGCAGCUUACAAAUCUAUAUCGGACGCUGAGGCACGAAAGCGUGGGGAGCAAACAGGAUUAGAUACCCUGGUAGUCCACGCCGUAAACGAUGAAUACUAGGUGUCGGGGCCGUAGAGGCUUCGGUGCCGCAGCCAACGCAGUAAGUAUUCCACCUGGGGAGUACGUUCGCAAGAAUGAAACUCAAAGGAAUUGACGGGGGCCCGCACAAGCGGAGGAACAUGUGGUUUAAUUCGAUGAUACGCGAGGAACCUUACCCGGGCUUGAAAGUUAGUGACGGAUGCCGAAAGGUGUCUUCCCUUCGGGGCACGAAACUAGGUGCUGCAUGGUUGUCGUCAGCUCGUGCCGUGAGGUGUCGGGUUAAGUCCCAUAACGAGCGCAACCCCUAUCGUUAGUUACCAGCACGUGAAGGUGGGGACUCUAACGAGACUGCCGGUGUAAGCCGAGAGGAGGGUGGGGAUGAUGUCAAAUCAGCACGGCCCUUACGUCCGGGGCGACACACGUGUUACAAUGGUCGGUACAGAGGGCAGCUACCUGGUGACAGGAUGCGAAUCUCGAAAGCCGGUCUCAGUUCGGAUUGGAGGCUGAAACUCGCCUCCAUGAAGUUGGAUUCGCUAGUAAUCGCGCAUCAGCCAUGGCGCGGUGAAUACGUUCCCGGGCCUUGUACACACCGCCCGUCAAGCCAUGGGAGUCGGGGGUGCCUGAAGUACGUUACCGCGAGGAGCGUCCUAGGGCAAAACUGAUGACUGGGGCU
rnacentral:rRNA from 1 species